CUCGGUUGGGUCUUUCGGCUCGGCAGGCUCGCUGCGGGCUUCAUGACACAGAGCAGGGGAAAGGUUGGAGCUGUAGCUGCAGCCUCUCUUGUGGGGCACCUGGAAAGGGAAGUUACAGGCAAAGGGAUUAGACCCUGCUCACAGAAGACUGGACUUUGUUGAGCUUAAACACAGCUACAGCAGAAAGAGCUGAAUCCCUGCUGCCUAACAGAGAUCAGUUUGAAGAUCAAGCUGCAUUGCAGAACACUUAUUGUAGUAGUAAGAAGAAAGGGAUGAAGAGUUCACAUGAAAUCUCAAGCAUUUUCCAACAGAGAAAUUGAGUCAUGGAGUAAACAGUCAACCUAGUUCCUCCACACAACAAAAUACAAUGAUGCAGCAGAGCUUCUGGGGCUUGAAGAUGGUCUUCCUCUAGCAAGUCCCCUACUUCCAUGUAAAGGGUGUUCUGUAGCGCAGAAAGGCAUUACAAGAAAAGGAAUGCAGUUUAGUUAGCAAGGACAAGUGUUUUUCUCAUUAUCAAGUUUGCACUGAAGUGCAAACACAUUGGAAACUCACAAAUGAAAAAAUCUUCAAGUGGCAGAGCGGAAGACUGGGAGCUACCUCUCUAUAGUAUUUAUUCACUUCAGUCUUGGGUAUCAAAGGCGAAUCCAGCUGUCUUGGGGAACUGACAGAUGCAGUAACACAAGAUACCACAAUAAAUAAGAGAGGUUGUUGGUCCUUCUUGAUACCAUAAUCCCUAUUCUUUGAGUUAAUUCAUCAGGAGGAAAAGGCUAUUAUCACACUGUUUGGAAAUCAGAGACAAGUAAGAGAGAAAAUCAGAUGAAGUGAGCACUGAAGUCAAUAGACAAGACAGGAGCAUUGGCUUCCCACACUAAACCUUUAACUUUCUUAUGUAACUGGAUGGAGAGUGAAAGACACAGGAACACAGGCCAAGACUUUCAAAUGAGGACAUUAUACUUUAAUGGUUCAGUUUUGGGUGCUCAUCUUCAGAGAAUUCAGUACAAGAUUUCAGGACUACUGAUCAUGCCCAACUACAGCAGAAGUGAAGGAUAUUUUCUCCAGAAAUACAGUGGCCAUUUUAUCAACUAAAAUUGGUGCAUCUGAAAUUGGAGCCCACCUUUGACAAUCAGCUUCACAGGCUUUUAUCUUAAAGAGAGACUGCCAAGACUGUGUGUAAUCAGAAUCUCUGAAAAAAAACCCCUCUUACUUAGUGACAGAACUGUUUUCUCUAGCACCACUGAAGAUAAAUAUGUGAACAGUAACAAAUAAUUUCACAGUGAACGGGACUAAGAUCUCCUGGAUUUCCACCCCUUGUGACUUCAUUGAAGUAUCUCUCACUCACUCCCAAAACAGGAAAUCCCUUUCAAGACUCUCUAGGAAAUUGAAUCUGCAUCCAGAUUUGCCAAAUUCAGUCUUUCAAUAAUUCUACAUUAAGCUGCCAAAGUACCAACAUAUGUGAACUCUGUUCUACAGACUUCCUCACAGAUGUUUUUCUGAGGUAUUUUCAUCUUGCAAUGCUGUUAAAUCAGGAGAAUUAAAAAUAGUUUUAAACAGGACGUGAGGCAGACACGGGAUCAGAAAAGGAAGCAGAAGUAUUAGUGGCAUGGCUGGAAUACUUCAGAUUAUGAGAAAUAAUUUUGUGUUAUUUGUCUUCAAAAUCCACACUAAAUAUUUUCCCUCUCUUAUUUCUUCACAUCCCUUUUAAAAACAUUUCUGAAGUCCCCAAGGUUGAGGAUAUGAUCAUGUCAGCACUCAUAACCUUACCACAAUGACUUCAAACAGGAAUUACCACCACAAAUGAGAAGCAGCUAUGGACUUUGACAGCAUUUGCACUGGAAUACCAACCAACCAACCAAAAAAUGCAUUUGCACAACCCAUCAAUUAGCCAGUUCUGCUGUACAUUGCAGUAGACUACAAGUCUACGCCUAGGCAACUGAUGCAUCUCUGCUGGUGGGACUCACAAGUUUUCAUGCAACGUCUGCCUUGUCAGCUUGUAUCAAAAAAAAAAAAAAAAAAAGGCUUGAAGAUGGACAAAAGCAAGAAAACAAAUAAGUAGCAGGUAAAGCCCCUGCCUUUGAAUUCAAGCCUGACUUGGCUAAUGACUUUAUGUUUGGUUUCCAACAAAACACCACACUAUGCUAGUUCUCAAAAUUUUAUUUGCAAAGUAGAGUUAAUGUAACUUUCUUAGCCCAUUGCCAAGCUGUGAAAAACAUGUUCCAUUGCUCUAAUGAUGAUGAUGAAAUAAUAUUUUUAAGGGAGAAAUCAUGGAAGUCUUCAUAGCACUUGAAAUUUUUUUUUUUGUAUUAUUAUAGAAGCAAAAAAUACCACUUUCAUGAUUUGAAUUAUUUUGAUUCAACUGCAAUGGAAUUUUAGAGGGAAACAUUGCAAUAAAAAAGGAAGAUUCAAUGCUCCUCUCCUCCUGCUCCAAACAAAAUGACAUUACAAAGAUACACCAAGUGAAAGGAGGUAAUGCAGCUAGAAAUUUCCAGAGGCACUAUGCGUGUUUCAGGGGACUAAUAUUUCUUCUGUACAUUCUAAACAGUGACUAAAAGUGCAUGUAAGAUCUCCUUUGCUUUUUCAAGGAGUGUGAAAAUCACAUCCUUAAAGUUUUCUAAAUCAUGGUCCUAAGAUCAGUUGAUGGCUUUUCCUUCAUUUGCCCCAACCAUAAUUAGUUUAUUGACUAGAAUAAUGCCACUGGUGAUUGCCUUAUAAUUUCUUUUAAUGAAAAGAAAACCUUUUAGUUAACAAUGGAAAUAGUUAAUCUCCUUUAAAGAAAGGACUAGAAAGGAAUAAGUUGUUUGCUCAUGAAUUGUAAAAAGGUAAAAAAUAAAUAACAGGCUCUGAAGUAAAUCUGGAAGGGAAGGCAAAUGCUAUCUUCCUCCUCAGUCUUCAAGAUUACUGUCUUUUGUGUACAAAUAAUUUAUGCCAACUUUCUGGUAAAAACAUCAUUCAGACAACUUGCGUUUUGGGUAAGAAUCAAGCUAAAAGGAUUCAUUCAGUCUGAUUUGGUAAAUCAAGUGCAGAAGGUGCUUAGGAAAUAAGUUGCACCUCUCACUUGUCAGUUUAGCUUCUGAAGCCUCAUAUGCUUAAGAGAUAAGUUAAAAGCUACACUCCUGAUUUAAAACUAUUUAAAUGGUUGCCACAGAUUCAGAAGAAGUUUGGGUCAGGCUUUAAGACCAGCACCCUUAUUUAAGCCAUAUAGUGGUAUUUUCCCUCUUGGGUGGCUACGGUGAUGCUCAGGAUUAAGAGAUAUUCAAGCUGCAGAACCUGGCUGGGGUACAGGGCUGUCCUGGAGUUGGACUAACUGGUUCUGGAUAAAAGAAAAAUUAACCCCAAAAUUUCUAUGUCCUGGUCAGGUUUAAUAUUCAUUCCCCUUCUUUUCUAAUUAUGCAGCUGCAUCUUCUUUUCUCCUAGGCUUUCUUGGGUUGAUAUGUAAGAUAGCUGGCCUGAACUAGAACUAGUUCUAGUCCAGCUGAAGGGAGUGUUAGAAAUUUCAUUAUCAGACUUCUUUUGUUCAAAAGGCAAAUUGGGUCAAUUUGUGCAGUCUGUUUCAGGUCUGUAGGCACAAAAAUUCUGAAUAGAUUUGGCAAAACCAGUAAGUCCUAUCUCAUGAGUACUUUUUAUUCCAGAAAUUGAGAAGUACUGGGGACUCAUGAAUCUGCUAGAGACUUUGCUGCUCGGAGGAGCUAGGUUGUCUGCAGAAGGGGCUCAGGUAACUGUGUCAGUAUUAAACCCUAAAAAUAGAGAAAAGUUCAGAUAGGUUGCUUUUCCCAGAAUGAGGAUGCAGAAAUCUUUCCUUCUGUAGAUCAGAUAGAAAUACAAGUGGAUCCUUCCACCAAAUACAGAAGACUUGUUUCCUCCACAAGUUUUUUUUCUUUGAUUAGAAUGGCAAAUGGAGGGGAAAAGACACUCUUAGAAGGCAAUACUAACAGGUAUCACUAGCCCUGAGCCCUUUUUUGUGAUGAAAGUCUGUUUGGUUUCCAUGUUUGGGCCAAGUUCUUUUCUAUACUCACAUGAUAACAUGAACCAUUCUGACCUCAAUUCAUCAGUUAAUGGGGCUGUACAAUAAAGUGAAAUUCUCCAACAGAGAAUGCUACAACCACUGUUUGUGAUGUGCAAUGCUAUGGCUUAUUCUCUGUCGUCAAGCAGAGAAAGGGAUGAACUCUUCAUCUCAUCUGUAGGAAGCAGGAUGCUUGGAAGCCUCUGGUAAAUCAUUUAUUUUGAUGAUCUCGCUUUUAUUUGAGCCUGCAGCAUUUGAUAUUCUCCAGUUACCUUCUUACUGAACACUGUUGAGGCUGUGAGUGAAUUGCCAUUCAUAUAUAUAUAGUGAUGUGUUUCUGCACUUGUGUAGCAUCUGCCAACAAGGAUCUCAAAAUACUACACAAACUUUAAUGAGUAAGGUUUCACAACACUCCUGGGGGACCCAGUUUGAUAGAUAAGGAAAGGAAGAUGCAGAGAAAUCAGUAGAUGCAUAUUCAGAUCCCUGCCUCCACCUGCAUAUAUAUUUUGCAAACUUUUGUUUGUAUGUAAAGAAAAAAUUCAAUACUCCUAGAAAUGCAAAUUGAAAGUUGAAAGUUUACAGGUUCCUUUGGGAGAAAAUGAUUUUGUGAGUGUACAUUUCAGCAUUAAGGCGUUCAGAAAUGUUCCAAAUUUUUUGAGUAGGCAUACAGGUAUUUGCAAAACAAAACAGAAAA